AUACUUACCUGGCAAGGGAGAUACCAUGUUCACGAAGGUGGUUUCCCCAGGGCAAGGCUCACCCAUUGCACUCCGGGUAUGCUGACCCCUGCGAUUUCCCUAAAUGUGGGCAACUCGACUACGUAAUUUGUGGUAGUGGGGAGAGAGAAAAAAAAAAAGUUUACCUG